AACGAACGCUGGCGGCAGGCUUAACACAUGCAAGUCGAACGCCCCCGCGAGGGGGAGUGGCAGACGGGUGAGUAACACGUGGGAACAUACCCUUCGGUUCGGAACAACGUUUGGAAACGGACGCUAAUACCGGAUGCGCCGAGUGAUCGGGAAAGGCUUGACCGCCGAAGGAUUGGCCCGCGUUCGAUUAGCUUGAUGGCGGGGUAACGGCCCACCAUGGCGACGAUCGAUAGCUGGUCUGAGAGGAUGGCCAGCCACAUUGGGACUGAGACACGGCCCAAACUCCUACGGGAGGCAGCAGUGGGGAAUAUUGGACAAUGGGCGCAAGCCUGAUCCAGCCAUGCCGCGUGAGUGAUGACGGCCUUAGGGUUGUAAAGCUCUUUCGCACGCGACGAUAAUGACGGUAGCGUGAGAAGAAGCCCCGGCUAACUUCGUGCCAGCAGCCGCAGUAACAC
rnacentral:rRNA from 1 species